AUUUUAGUAAUAUAAUUAUUAUAUUUGAUUUCCAAUCAAAAAAUCUAUAUUAAAUUAGCUAAAAUA
rnacentral:tRNA from 1 species